rnacentral:rRNA from 1 species
GACAGAGGUGCCGAGCGUUAGGCGGAAUCACUGGGCUUAAAGCGCGUGUAGGUGGCGGCCUAAGUACCUUGUGAAAUCCUGCGGCUCAACCGCAGAACUGCUUGGUAUACUGGGUCGCUUGAGACAUUCAGGGGCAACUGGAACAAGCGGUGGAGCGGUGAAAUGCGUUGAUAUCCAUAGGAACUCCGGUGGCGAAAGCGGUGUGCUGGAUCCCUUCUGACGCUGAGGCGCGAAAGCCAGGGGAGCGAACGGG